rnacentral:tRNA from 1 species
UGCCGGGUCGUCUAAUGGUAGGACAGCGGCCUUUGAAGCCGUUUAUUGGGGUUCGAAUCCCUGCCCGGCAGCCA